UACAGGAGGGGAUGUAUCGGCUCAUGUGGCUGAAAAGGCAGUGGCUUCAGGUCCAGCUGGAUCCAGGAGCCAAAAGCGUUGGUCAGGAAUUAUUCUCUGUUUCUCAAUAGUGCUGCCUUCUCUUGGCCUCAUUGUUAGGCAGCUUAUCCCCUGCGAAACACCGCCAGCUGCUUCGAGCUCCCACCCCUGUGGCUGCAGAAAGCCCAGCUGGGUGUGGACCGACACGCGGCGGCUGUGGCCCUCUGUGCUUUAGCAGCUCCGGCUCCUACUUCUCCCUGACCUCAGGCAGUCAGCGCUGGCAGUCAGCGGGUGGGAGGCAGCAUCAGUCAAACCAGCGCGAGCACAAGGCCUUUCCCGGAAAAAGGGACUUAGGGGUCCCCUGGGGGGCAGCGGCCUUGACCUCGCCUCAGUCCAGGAGGAAUCGGGAGUCGUUAGGAGCCCAGCAGCCGCUCCCUCCCUGCGGCCCCCUCGGGCGCCGACUCCAGCCUUCGCCCUCUGCGCGCCUGGCUGUUCUGCAUGAACUGCGGCCAGGAGCCAGCAGCUCCCAGCCCCGCCGCGCAGGGCCCGCCCCUGCUCUACCGGCUUCCCGGGAAUCAGAAUCUGAUUGGGCCGCUGGCAUGAGAGGCAGGUCACAUGACCUCUGUGCAGCCUAUGGGAGCAGUGGAGGCCGGCUGCGGAAGGGGCGGGGCAGGGACCGGAUGUAGCUGGCUCUCUUCCUUGCUCCUGCGAUGGGGAGACAGCAAACCCCAGAGUGGUGGCCUGGUGUGACAGCACAGGUGUCCCCUGAUGUCGCCCCCAGUUGAAAACCACUGGUGCAGUCCUCAGCUACCACCUGGCGUCACCCGUCCUCAGAUACAGCUGACGUCACCCGUCCUCAGAUACAGCCUGGCGUCACCCGUCCUCAGAUACAGCUGACGUCACCCGUCCUCAGAUACAGCCUGACAUCACCCAUCUUCAGCUACAGCCUGGCGUCACCCUUCCUCAGCUACAACCUGGUGUCACCCGUCCUCAGAUACAGCUGACGUCACCCGUCCUCAGAUACAGCUUAGCGUCACCCGUCCUCAGAUACAGCUGACGUCACCCAUAUUUAGAUACAGUCUGACAUCACUCAUCUUCAGCUACAGCCUGGUGUCACCCGUCCUCAGGUACACCUGGUGUCACCCGUCCUCAGGUACACCUGUUGUCACCCACCCGUAUUUGUAGUCUGACAUCACUCAUCUUCAGCUACAGCCUGGUGUCACCCGUCCUCAGGUACACCUGGCGUCACCCGUCCUCAGUGACAGGACCUGGGGCACUGAUGGCCCUCGUGGAAGCCACUGGUUUAAUCUCCGUCCUCCUUGGGCUUGACCUCUCAGAGCAGUCGCUGUGACCGGCAUUCCUCCUGGAACACCUUCCGAAUCCCUGUGUCCUCACACACCGCCACGCUCCUUCUGGCUCACCGACUGUUUCUUCUGGGAAAGUGGAAUAAAAAAUGAGUUUAUCUUGCUGCAAAAAGUUUUGAAAUGUACCUGCAUGCGGGAGGCAUCGGGGUUCAUUGGGAAAUGUGCAUAAUUAAAAAUGAUUCACGGACCUCAAAAUUUUUUUUGUAU